AUUAUUUGUAAUUUGAUUUAAUCACAUGUGUAGAGUUUUGUACUUUUUAUUUUAUGUAAUGAAUUGAUGAUGAUACUUUGUUGGUUUCCUGGUUUGUUGUUGAUACUUAAUCCUGUUUAUUUCAUUUAUAAUUAUGAAUUCUACUGAUUUAUCAUUUUGAAAGUGUUUAUCCAUGUUGUAUGUCUCUCAAAAGUUUUGUUUGCUGCCAGAUUUAUGAUCAUUUGCUUUUUUCUGAGCAAUUUCAUUUCUGAAGACCCUGAAAUUUGGAUGGUAAAAUUGAUAUUUACAAUGAAACUAAGUUACUUAAGGCCAAAACAACUAUAAAUUAUCUGAUUGCUCGAAGGGAGAGUUCAUUUUAAGUCACUUGGAAGGCUAAAAUUUUUCUCAAAAAAACAGAUUGUACUUAUUGAUUGAUCACUAAUUUAAUUACUAAGAUAAACGAACAAACUACUCAAUUUCAAACCAAAUUCCAGCUUUAUUGUUUACCAUGCGUCUCUCUGGUGGACAACCAAUUGGUAACUGUUAUCUAAGUAAAUUAAAUUCUUGGAUCAAUCAUGAAACAAUUGUGUUAUGAAAUCACUUUUGAAGUCUAGGUUGAGCCACACACAAACAAUAGUUAUUAUGGUUGCUGAUGUUGAAUCAAUACGGGACUUCAACAAAGACUUAAGUUUUGGACAACAAGAGACAGUUAUCAAGAAAUGUUUUUCGUGGUUUUCAGAGAACAUAAAAUUUGCAUAUUUUCAAGCUUCAACUUUUCAAAAGACCCAGUAAACACUAAAGAAACAUUGAUUCGAAAUCGCUUUUCGAGUAUGAAUAUAUUCAGUAAGAGUACCACAUGGAUAGUAAGCUGAUUUCGGUGUCACUAAGGUGUCAUUAAAGUACACGCAAAGGCUUAUACAGUUAUUUUUGAACAAUCUUAACUAUUUACAAGUCAUUUGAAAUUGUGCCUCUUGUGUCACCCUUCAUCAUAUGAUUAAUUGUUCCUUGGUGAAAGCCAAUUAUCAUU